GACGAACGCUGGCGGCGUGCUUAACACAUGCAAGUCGAACGAUGACGACCGAGCUUGCUCGGUCUGAUUAGUGGCGAACGGGUGAGUAACACGUGAGCAACCUGCCCUUCACUCUGGGAUAACCUCGGGCAAUCGGGGCUAAUACCGGAUAUGAGCUCCUGUCGCAUGGCGGGUGUUGGAAAGUUUGUCGGUGAAGGAUGGGUUCGCGGGCUAUCAGUUUGUUGGUGAGGAAGUGGCUCACCAAUGCGAUGACUGGUAGCCGGCCUGAGAGGGGGACCGGGCACUCUGGGACUGAGGCACGGCCCAGACGGCAACGGGAGGCAGCAGAGGGGAAUAGUGCACAAUGGGCGAAAGCCUGAUGCGGCGACGCCGCGGGUGGGAUGCAGGCGGUCGGGUUGUGAAACUCUUUCAGCAGGGAAGAAGCGAAAGUGACGGUACCUGGAGAAGAAGCGCCGGCUAACUACGUG
rnacentral:rRNA from 1 species